rnacentral:rRNA from 1 species
AUUGAACGCUGGCGGCAUGCCUUACACAUGCAAGUCGAACGGCAGCACGGGAGCAAUCCUGGUGGCGAGUGGCGAACGGGUGAGUAAUACAUCGGAACGUGCCCAAUCGUGGGGGAUAACGCAGCGAAAGCUGUGCUAAUACCGCAUACGAUCUACGGAUGAAAGCAGGGGACCGCAAGGCCUUGCGCGAAUGGAGGGGCCGAUGGCAGAUUAGGUAGUUGGUGGGGGAAAGGCUCACCAAGCCAAGGAUCUGUAGCUGGUCGGAGAGGACGACCAGCCACACUGGGACUGAGACACGGCCCAGACUCCUACGGGAGGCAGCAGUGGGGAAUUUUGGACAAUGGGCGCAAGCCUGAUCCAGCCAUGCCGCGUGCAGGAUGAAGGCCUUCGGGUUGUAAACUGCCUUUGUACGGAACGAAACGGCCUUUUCUAAUAAAGAGGGCUAAUGACGGUACCGUAAGAAUAAGCACCGGCUAACUACGUG